GACGAACGCUGGCGGCGUGCUUAACACAUGCAAGUCGAACGGAAAGGCCCUGCUUUUGUGGGGUGCUCGAGUGGCGAACGGGUGAGUAACACGUGAGUAACCUGCCCUUGACUUUGGGAUAACUUCAGGAAACUGGGGCUAAUACCGGAUAGGAGCUCCUGCUGCAUGGUGGGGGUUGGAACGUUUCGGCGGUUGGGGAUGGACUCGCGGCUUAUCAGCUUGUUGGUGGGGUAGUGGCUUACCAAGGCUUUGACGGGUAGCCGGCCUGAGAGGGUGACCGGCCACAUUGGGACUGAGAUACGGCGCAGACUCCUACGGGAGGCAGCAGUGGGGAAUAUUGCACAGUGGGCGGAAGCGUGAUGCAGCAACGCCGCGUGCGGGAUGACGGCCUUCGGGUUGUAAACCGCUUUCGCCUGUGACGAAGCGUGAGUGACGGUAAUGGGUAAAGAAGCACCGGCUAACUACGUG
rnacentral:rRNA from 1 species